AACGAAACAUCAUAUGACAACCAUGUGACACCCGACUACCGGGUUCCCUGUGGUAUAAACACGUGACAAUGCGCGUUUCGCUGCGCGCACGCUAGGGGCGAAGCAAGAUGGCAGCGAAGGGUUUUGGAGUUAAACAGAUCGGAAACCGCUUUCAAGUGAGUUUAAAGCUGAAAUAAAUACGAAUCCCUACUCCUGGAUCUCGUUGUUUACCCUCCACGCGCUCGCAAGUCGGACCAACAUGGUCACGUGAUUAUGACGUCAUCAAUGACGUCCCUAGAAUAAAAAAUAUGCUGACGUCAUCAAAAUAAACAAGUAUAUAUAUCUCAUUAAAGAAACAUCGUGUGACAACAAAACUCGGUAGGUGUGAUGUAUGUUUCAAGUGGGGUGCAAGGAGAUGGUCAGGUGACGUCAUUCGAUGACGUCAAUAAAUUAAAACUACCCUGACGCCGAAGACACCGCGGCAGAACGACUGCGCAUGCGCGAGACAAGAGUCAUUCAAAAUGGCGAACGAAACACGAGUUUCCCAAAGCUGUUACAAUAAACACAAACGUUUGGCUCAAAAUGGACUUAACGAGAGCAAAAAAAUACACAUACGCCAAGAAAAUGUACUCGUGUUAAGGUUCCAGGAAGAUUUUUUGCUGGAUCGAGGGUAAAAUCCUCAAGUUUGACGGCGUUUGUGGGAUUUGCUGGCACGCGAAACUCAAAAGUUCUACUGCUGCCGUGAAAACGAGACAAAUGUCAGGGAGCAAACAUCAAAUGUGGGCGAGAUUAGUUUCUUUAUAUUCCUGAGGAAUUCUUCCAAGUCAGCCUUGGGACUCAUUCCGAUCAUCGCUCCAAAGUUAUGGCCGUGUGCAUAGUGUAGAUGGCUAUCUAGAACAUAGAUCUUUGAAUCGUGUCCGACGAGAGAUAUUGUCAUUCCAUUAGCUAUGACUAUUGCUGCUAAGUUCUGUUCGCGAUCAAGCCUUUGCAGAUAAAAUGCAAGUGAACUUUGAGGAACCUGUGGAUUAGCUGAUGUAAUUGACAGAUCGAGAGUGUCUUCAAGAGAAACAGUCCCAAUGACUGAAUCUAGAUGUGGUUUUGCCUCAACAACACUAAAGAAUGGAGACCCGCAACCAUUUGUCACAGUGUCAUAUAUGCUGUUGCCACGAACAAUUGCAGAUAACAUCAUUGAAAGCCAAUGAGGGUUUAUGGGAGGACCACAGCUGAGCUGUAUACUGGUUCGGUUUGCAGAAGUGAUAUAUGAAUGGGCCAAAAUUAGUGAGAUAAAAGUACAUGCAUUAGAUCCAUUUCUUCCAAGUAGAGUUGACUGAGAUAUGUAAGGAGGAAAGAACCAAAAUGUAGAUGAACCAACUGGAUGAGUGGUAACUUGGAUGUCAAUUGCCUGUAAAGGUGCAGCCUGGUGAUUGGGAACAUUGUGUCGCAGUUGUGGUUGUGCAACAACAAAUGAAUUUAACUCCCUGUCAAUGUGGGAUUCCCAUUGUGCAGAGUCAUAGUAUUCAGGGUCACAAUUUCUUUUGACAUUAAUGCUGUCAUUCUCAUCAUUACUACCAGGUUCUUGAUUGCUUUGUGGGGUUCUAGUAGAUUUUGCUGUUGGUUUCAACAAGCUUUCAUUAAAUGCUGAACAGAUUUCUGCAAUUUUUUCAGCAAGGUGAGGGGAACAGAUUGGACACUGGUCUCCAGCUUCUUCUAAACAAAAAUUGUGAAAUGUGUGAAAACAGUUAAGGCGAUUGACAUUGGUUGUUGAUAAUUGCGUGCAGUUUUUGUAGUCACAGAUUAAUUUAGGAUCAGGUAUUGUGGAAGGGUCUUCUUUUACAAAUGAGUAGCCAAGGGGCAUUGCUUUUGAAGUAAUGGUGGUGUCAAAGGUAGGAAGAAAAAAUUUCAUGUCUCCUUUAGGCUGCCCUCUUGCAUUUGUUUCUUGUGGAACCUUAAAUGUAAAAAAAAUAGACACAAUUGUUAGUCAUGAAAAAGAAAAUAAGUUGAGGCUAUGAUCAAGUGCUCGACUAAUCAUUAUUAUUACUUCCCUGCAUAAAAAAACAUUGUUCAGGCACUGCACUGCACCAAGGUAAUAAAAAAUUACUUAUGGAUGGA